AGUGAACGCUGGCGGCAGGCCUAACACAUGCAAGUCGAGCGGAAGCAGGGUACGUGCUCGUUGAUACGGGGGCCGACGGGCGGACGGGUGCUGAGAACCUCGCAAUUUACUUUUUCGUAGGUGAUAACGCAGGGGCACUUACGCCAUUACUGCAUACGACCUACGGGUGGAAGCUGGGGAUCUUCCGCUCUUGCACGAUUGAAUGAGGCGUUGUCGGGUUGGCUAGUUGGCGGGGUAAAAGCCCACCAAUGCGACGCUCCGGAGCUGGUCUGAGAAGAUUGACAGGCACCCUGGAACUGGGGCACGGUCCAGACUCCCACGGGAGGCAGCAGUGGGGAAUAUUGGACAAUGGGCGGAAGCCUGGUCCAGCCAUACCGCGUGGGGGAAGGAGGCCUUCGGGUUGUAAAGCCCUUUUGUGGGGAAAGAAAAGCAGCAGGUUAAUACCCCGCUGUUCUGACGGUACCCAAAGAAUAAGCACCGGCUAACUUCGUG
rnacentral:rRNA from 1 species